UCCUUAGCUCACAUGUUAGUUACAGUUACUUAAAAUGACAUAGUAACACUAAAAUCACCAACAAAUGUGUUGUGUGAGGGAAAGUUUGAAGGUGGUCUGUGAAGAAGAAGAUGAUGAUGAAGGCGAAAAACAAAGACGUAGGAUGGAGAUAAUAAAAGUGAGAACGGAGAGAUGAGACGUAGGUCACGUAGCCAUGGAAGUUGGAAUUAGUUAAGAAAAGGCGGACUGUUGGAAAGGUUUUAUUCUUGACUUUUUAUUGUGCAUUACUAUUUAUAGCAAACUAAAUCUCAUUUUUGUGGUGCAUAGGUGCAUUACUCUUUCUUUUUUCUUUAAUAAUAAAGAUUAUAUAUUCCAAAAAUAAAGAUUAUAUAUUUCAAAAAGUCUUGGUCUUAGUAUUAUGCAUGAUUUGGUGGCUGGUGCGGUCAUAUCUUUGACUCACAUACCAUCUGAUUAGUCCUCUUUCCAAAAUCAUCAGAGUCUUGUUGUCUUGUUUUAUGGAUAGGACAAUUUGCCUAGAACACAUUUCGUUAACCAAAAGAAAGAAAGAAAAAUCAAGAUGAUAAAAACACCAAACCAUAAACUAAAGUUACAAUUCAUCCCCAAUUAUAUAUAAUUCAUUUACUAUAGUGUAACUAUAUUUUCGAAGUCUAUGACUUAAGACUUAUCUUAUUAUAGUCUCGUAUUAUAGAUUAACACCAAAUUCAUAGCUGGAAAGUAACGUAAUGUUUUCCUUUUGGAUUCUUUAGUUGCAUUUCUUCUUCACGAAACCAAAUCUUCCAUUUUCCAAAUCAUACUCCACGUAUAUAUCCUGCUGUUGGUAAUUUCCUAUGAUUAUCGACGGCCCACCAUUCAACUUGAUUGGAAGGAUCGUCAUACACGCCACGCCGGGCUCCACCUGAGAGAAGUAAUCGGCCAUCGGCAGUGAUAAUUUCGCUCCGCCUUCAAAAUCAAACAUUAGCUCGGGAAACACCGGCGGCUUGUCUCCAAUGGUGUAACACAACGGCGACUCCUUAUCAGUAGUGUUAAUUCUUUUAUACUUGUACAUUUGAACUUCAAACUCUUUUGCUACAAGAUCGUAGAUAGGAUAAUCCAUGAUCGUGAAUGUUGUGCCGGAAUCGAUGAUGGUUCCCCCGUUGCCAUCAGAUCCGGGCACCAAUAAACGAUCUGGGAUAUUUACAUCUUUGCCACCGAUGGUGAUUUUCUGGAGGCUUAAGUAGUAGAAUCCUUCAAAUCUUGAAGGAUUCUUAAGGAACUUGGUGUAGCUGAUCAUCAUACCUCCAUCUCCGGCGCCGGAACUUGAAGAAUCCCGAUACAGAACAAGCUCACUGCUGACAGUCUGAUUGUCAUCGAACUGAUGAGAGACUAAACAAUAUGAGAACUUUUUAAGACCCAUCUGAGCGGGUAAAGAGUCGGGUCGACGUCCAAACCCGAGAAUUCCCUCAGGUAGUCCUGCGGAUAAAACUGAGCAUCCGACAGCGAAAUCAGUGACAUCCCCCUCAAGGAGAUGCAACGUCUCCGACAGCAGUACUCCAGCUGUUAACCCAGACCCAUACACUUGCUCGUAAGAACAAACCUGUUUGGUGGCGUUGCAUUGAAUUGUCUCAGGUGUCCGAGAGACCCACCCACAUUUGGUGUUAUUACAACCCAGAAUUUUAACAGAGGAUGAAUGUUUGGGCAUGAAUACGGGGAGUAAGGAGGAGGAGGAGGAGGGACAAUCAUAACAUGUGUAACGAUCAGUACAUGGGAACCAGACAAGGCUGCUUCCAGUAUCCAUGAGAAAGGAUAGUUUUUGAGAGGGUGAUCCGAAACUCAGAGGAACCGAGUAGUAUCCGCCAUUUCCCCGAGGAAAGAGAGGGACUUCGGAGGUGGAGUUGUUGGGGUUUUUCAGGAGGUGGGCUCUGGCUAGAGAAGAAGAUACGAGGUAGUUUAAGGUCCGAAACAAUGGAUGUUGGAUGGUUUCGAAUUCUCCAGAAGGUACUGCAAUGUGUUGUGUGAGGGAAAGUUUGAAGGUGGUCUGUGAAGAAGAAGAUGAUGAUGAAGGUGAAAAACAGAGACAGAGGAUGGAGAUAAGAGUGAGAAUGGAGUGAUGAAAAGUGGCCAUGGAAGUGGAAUUAGUUAAGAAAAAGGCGGGCUGGAGACGUGUUUCAUUC
rnacentral:lncRNA from 1 species